GCCAGCGGCGAUAGCACGUUGGAUGCACUAGUUGCCAAUGGAUCACUAAUGUUAAGAAACGUUGCACGUGGUUGGUAUCCGGAUGGGUGACCUUCUGGGCAAUUGGACAGGAGCGCUGCUGGCU
rnacentral:rRNA from 1 species